UGUCGUCACCGGGGGUGCCCUAAAACGUUAGGGCUGAGACAUACCCCAGGAACCUGAUCCGGGUCAUUCCGGCGGAGGGAGCGUGAUGCGCGGAACGC
rnacentral:ncRNA from 1 species